GAUGAACGCUGGCGGCGUGCCUAAUACAUGCAAGUCGAGCGAACAGACGAGGAGCUUGCUCCUCUGACGUUAGCGGCGGACGGGUGAGUAACACGUGGAUAACCUACCUAUAAGACUGGGAUAACUUCGGGAAACCGGAGCUAAUACCGGAUAAUAUAUUGAACCGCAUGGUUCAAUAGUGAAAGACGGUUUUGCUGUCACUUAUAGAUGGAUCCGCGCCGCAUUAGCUAGUUGGUAAGGUAACGGCUUACCAAGGCGACGAUGCGUAGCCGACUUGAGAGGGGGAUCGGCCACACUGGAACUGAGACACGGUCCAGACUCCUACGGGAGGCAGCAGUAGGGAAUCUUCCGCAAUGGGCGAAAGCCUGACGGAGCAACGCCGCGUGAGUGAUGAAGGUCUUCGGAUCGUAAAACUCUGUUAUUAGGGAAGAAAAAAUGUGUAAGUAACUAUGCACGUCUUGACGGUACCUAAUCAGAAAGCCACGGCUAACUACGUG
rnacentral:rRNA from 1 species